rnacentral:tRNA from 1 species
GGGGGUGUAGCCUAGUCCGGUUUAAAGCAGUCGCCUGUCGAGCGAAAGAACGUGGGUUCAAAUCCCAUCAUCCCCG